GGGGGACUUUGGGGUUCCAGGGUGGUCCUGGGCCAACCUUGGGGGCUUUUCAGGGGGAUUUGGGGUUCCCGGGGGAGAUUUGGGGAUCCUGGGGGUUCCCAGACCCCCCCCUCCCGUUUUUGGGGGUCUCCCAUGGUGCCCCCUCCCCACAGAGCUCCGAGGGCCCCUGAGGUGGCUCCUGUUCCACCGGCCAGUGCCCCUGACCCAGCACGGCCCCAGAGAGUCUGGGGGGAUCUGGGGGGCAUUUUUGGCAUUUGGGGGCAAUUUUGGGAGGGUUUUUGGGGAUUUUGGGAGGGCGUUUUUAGAGCUUUGGAGGGUUUUGAUGGAAGUUGAGGGGGUAUUAUUGGGGAUUCAGAGAGAAUUAUUGUGUUUCGGGGUUUAUGGGAUUUUGGGAGUUUUGUGGCUUUCGGGAGUUUUGGAUUUUGGGGGAUUUAAUUGGGGUUGGGGGUUGAUUUUUGAGGGUGUUUAGUGAAAUUUUGGGGAGUUUUUUUGAGUUUGGGUGGGUUUCACUUGGAUUUGGUGGGAUUCUCUGGGGUUUUGGAGGAUCUUAUUGUAAUUUCUUGAGGAAUGUGGGAUUUUUAGUGGAAUUUGUGGGGCAUUUGGGAGUCUGGGGCCUUUGGGUUGUCCCAGGGUUUGCAGAAGGGCUGAGAGGCAUCACAAUCUCCUUAAAAGCCCCAAAAGUCCCAAUAAAACUCAUGAAAUCCGAAAUAAAUCUCGCAAAAUCCCAUUAGAACACCCUAGAAUCCCAAUAAAAGCCCACAAAAUCUUUUGAAAUCCCAAUAACCCCCAAAAUCCUAAUGAAACCCCACAAAUCCACCCCAAAAAAUGUCCCCUAAAAAAUCUUGCAAAAUCUCCCCCAAGACCCAAAGAAAUCAGAGCAACACCCAAAAAUCCCAACAAAACUCCUCUAAAUCCCACCAAAACUCCCAAAAAACCCCAAAUUGCCAAAAAACCCAAAUCCCAAAUACAUCCCACUAAAUGCCUCCAAAAUUCCAAUAAAUACCUCAAAAUCUCCUAAAAAUCCCAAUAAAAUCCCCAGAAUUUAUGAGAAUUGCAAAAACCCCCAACAAAAUCCCAGUAAAACCUCCCAAAAUACAAAAAAAAAACCAACCAAAAUUUUCAAUAAACCUCCAAACACCCCCAGAAGAACACCCCCCCCAAAGCGCCAAUAAAACCCCCAAAAUCCAAACCCCCCAAAAUCCACAAACCCCCCAACAUUUCCCACCUUGUCCCAGCAUGUCUGCCGUCAUUUCCAGGCGCUGCCAGGGGCCCCAGGACGGUGUCAGUUCUCCCAGUGUGAUCCCCCAGUCACGCCCAGAAUAUCCCAGCUGCCUCCAGCAUGCAUCCAGUCCUGCCCAGUUCCUCCAGUUUGCUUGCAGCGUGAUCCCAGUUUCUCUCAGGAUUUCCAUUGCCAACCCCCAUUGAGGCUGUGAGGAAAAUGCCCCAGAACAUGCAAGCAGAGCAGGAGCUGAGCAUGGAGAGCAGGGAGGACAAAUCCCCGCGGCAGAACCUCGUGGCAGAGGCCGUUUUGAGCGGCUCCACGGCGCAGGAACCCAACGGGGAGGAAAAGCCCCGGAGAUCCUGCACGAGGAGGGGCUGCAAACACAGCCCAGGUUGCUCUGAGGAGUAAAGAUCCACCCUGUGCCAGGAAGGUGGACAGAGCUUCAGCCAGAGCUUGGAGCUGGUGGUCCAUGAGCAGGUUCCUGAUGGGGAGAAGCCUCACAGGUGCUUGGAGUGUGGGAAGAGCUUCUGGUGGAUCACCAAGCUGAUGGUGCACCAGAGAACCCACACUGGGGAACGGCCCUACGAGUGUGGGGAGUGUGGGAAAGGCUUCAGGUGCAGCUCUGAGCUCAUCACUCACUAACGCAUCCAUACCGGGGAGAGGCCCUAUGACUGUCCCGAGUGUCAGAAGAGGUUUCAGACCAGCUCCAGUCUCCUCCAGCAUCAAUGGAUUCACACAGAGGAGAGGCCCUUCCGCUGCCCAGACUGCAGGAAGGGCUUCAACUGCAACUCAAACAUCGCCAGGCACCGGUGCAUCCACAGCGGGGAGAGGCCCUACGAGUGUCCCCAGUGUGGGAAGAGCUUUACCCACAGCUCUAACUUGACCAAACAUCAACAGAGUCACCAGUAAGGGAAGUCCUGCAAGUGCCCUGAGUGUGGGAAGAGCCUCGUGUGCUGCUCCAGCUUCAUCCCCCAUUGGAGAACCCACACUGGGAAGAGACCUGCUGAUCCAUGUUCCCUGUGAUCCAUGGUGGGAAGACACUUGCCACUUUUCCUGCCCCUGCUAGUGAGCUGAUGUAGGAUUGAAGAACAAGAGGGUCUGGCCAGAGCCGUGUCAUUAGAUUCACUCCCACCUCAGGUCAUUGCCAGGGGCAGGAAAGGGACUCUCUCUCUCUCCCUGAGGAGAAAGGUGUCCUUUCCAGGCAGGAGGAAAUACGUGGCCAGGAAGAGCCACUCAGUGGUGAUGUUGUACUUUUCCCUGUAAAUAGUUUUUCUUAUCCCUUCUGUUAUCAAUAUUGCUUUUGUUCCUAUUUGUUCCUUAUCUCAUUGCUGUUCCCAGUAAAUUGUUCU